CUUCAUUCCCCAAAAAUUGCACCAAGAAUGGAUCUCACCAGCUUUCAAUUUCAUCAGAGUCCCACAUGCCGUAAUACACAAGAAAACGGUCAAGGGUGAGAACAACAAAAAUAAACUACACAUGGAAAGAAAGCAAAGAUAUGAACAUUGAGAAACCAAGGUAACUAGCAGAAGGUCACAAAAAGCAGCACCGAAAAGGGAAGUCUGCGACUGCAACGACUAUUGGUGAAGGGUAAUUGGUGAGAUACCAUGACUAUGAAUAGGUAGAGUUUAACUAGCCGCAAUCCACCAGAAGGCCUUUCUUCUAUAAACAUUACCAAGACCUGAUCAACCAAUGUCAAUGUUGAAAUACAAAAAACCAACUCUAAUCAACAAAGAAGAUAGAGAAAACAGAUCUAAUAACAAACUGGAUCUCAAACCCAAAAAGAGAAAAAUCAAAGAACUCCCAAAGCCUGACUGCCCGCUUGAAUUGCUUGGGUCCGAGCUUAACUUCUCAACGGAAACUAUGAGAGAAUUGCAAAUCAGAAACCUAUAUCCCAACAGCUGCAAUCACAGAGAGAAGGAACAGUUAAGUGCAAAGUUGGCGAAACCCAUGCCACUAGGAAAUCACUAGAUAUUCCAGACACGAGAUCGGAAAACCCCCUUUUUUCAAAGCUUGACAAUGUCUGGAUUGCAGUGCAAGCACUUGACACCAACCUCUGAAAUUUCAAAAUCUAAUGUUCUAUCACUGUCACCAUGUGGUCUACAAUCUAUCCAACAAACAAAAGCAAGCUGACAUGAUAAACAAAAGAAAACAGAAGCAGAGAAAAAAGACAUGCAGCAAGAACACCAAAAGCAGAGUAGGGGCUAUAUCAAAAGAUCCAGAUUUGAGUUUGAGUACUUAUCAGGUGUCCAUAACCAUAAGAGAUCUCUCACAUAAGUUGGAUAAUCGAAGAACAUAAGCAAUCGAAGAACAUAAGCAUCUGGACUGGAAAAAAAUGGCAGCAGAAUACACUAUAAACACUUGUGAAAAGAUUUAACUCAGUUAACAAUUUCCGCAUUACCAGCAGUGUUGACAAAGAGAGAAGGAAUCACUAUAAUUAGGGAAGGAAACUGGAACGAAAAUCUCAAUAAUUAGAAGUCUGAACUACAGAAACCUCAACGCAAAUCGGCAAGGAAACAAGCGGCUCCAAGGAAAGCCGAAUUCACUGCUCUAAGGCCCAAUGGCUGCAAGCACAAAUAGGAGGUAACAUUUAAGUGGAAAGCUGGUGAAACCCGUACGACUAGGAAAUCAGAAGAGAUGCCAGAGACAAGAUUGAAAAACCCCCUUUCUUGAAGCCUGACAAUAUCAAGAUUGCAAUGCAAGCACCAAAAAGACCAAGAAACCAUGUGUAACGCAUACUGGAUCACCAACCUUUGAAAUUUCAAAAUCCAAUCCUUAAUUACUGUCACCAUGUGGUCUACACAUCCACCCAACAAACAAAAACAAGUUGGCGUGAUAAACAAAAGAAAACAGUAGCAGAGGAGAUAUGUAGCGAGAAAACCAAAAGUAGAGGAGCACUUUAUAGGGCUAUCAAAAGAUCCACAUUUGAGAUGGAGUACUUAUCAGGUGUCCAACCAGGUGUCCAUAACUAUAAGAGAGAUCUCAUCGGUUGGAUCAUCGAAGAACAUAAGCAUCUGGAAUGAAAACUGAAAAUGGCAGCAGAAUACGCUAUACACACUUGUGAAAAGAUUUAUCUCAGUCGACAAUUUCCCUAUACCAGCAGUUUUGACAAAGAUAAGGGAAUCACUCUAAUUAGGGAAGAAAACUGGAUUGAAAAUCUCAAUACUCAUAGAAGCCUAAACUACAGAGACCUCAAUAAUGACCGGCAAGGAAAACAAGGCGGCUCCAUGCAAGGAGGAAUUCAUUUCUCUAUGGGCCCAAUGGCUGCAAGCACAAGCAGGAGGUAACAGUAAGUGAAAAGCUGGUGAAACCCAUACCACAAGGAAAUCACAAGAGAUGCCAGAGACGAGAUUGAAAAACCCCCUUUCUCGAAGCCUGACAAUAUCAGGAUUGCAAUGCAAGCACCAAAAAGACCAAGAAACCGUGUGUAACAUACUGGACCAAGCUUUGAAAUUUCAAAAUCCAAUCCUUAGUUACUGUCACCAUGAGGUCUACACAUCCACCCAACAAACAAAAACAAGUUGGCGUGAUAAACAAAAAGAAAACAGUAGCAGAGAAGAUAUGUAGCGAUAAAACCAAAAGUAGAGGAGCACUUUAAGGGGCUAUCAAAAGAUCCAGAUUUGAGAUUGAAUACUUAUCAGGUGUCCAACCAGG
rnacentral:lncRNA from 1 species